rnacentral:lncRNA from 1 species
GGUUUGUGAUUCCGUGUCCCAUCCUGUCUGCUUCAGAACUGUGUCAGCCUCGCGGCCUGGGAUCCCUGCCCUCGUCCCAUAUCCAGGUUCAGUCAUUUGACCGGUCUUAGUUUAAUGUGACUUCUGUAGGCACCCUGUCCCCUCCUCGGAAGUAAGUAGAAUAAGAAGGACCUGGAGAAAUAGCUGAAGCAGUGGGCCAUGGCCUGGAACAAUCCACUGAACGCCACUCAUGCUUCCGUGAACCCUUACUUGCUCACCCCACCCUGUGGUUUCAGAGUAUAGAAUGAGAAUAUAAGCUAGAUCCUGGGGUUGAAGCCGUUCAGGACCUUCCUCAAGCAGUGACAACUCCUCUCUUCCACAUGGGUGUCGGAAUGAUUAUUCCAGAAAGAUGCCCGCAACAACUCCUACCAGGUUACAUCUUCACGGACCUGAGAGACGGCUCAUAAGUUAAGGCUUAGGCCACUAAGGCUAAUAAUACGUAACCUGUGUUUAAUCACGGGGACCAUCAUAAUAGAAGGAGAGAACUGUCUGAAGUUUGUUCUUUUAUCUACUCUCUUUCUCUGGAUAAAUACAUAAACAAACAAAUAUUACAUCUUCAUGAAAUAAAAUCUUGCAGCAUCCU